GACGAACGCUGGCGGCGUGCUUAACACAUGCAAGUCGAACGGAAAGGCCUGCUUUUGUGGGGUUCUCGAGUGGCGAACGGGUGAGUAACACGUGAGUAACCUGCCCUUGACUUUGGGAUAACUUCCGGAAACUGGGGCUAAUACCGGAUAGGAGCUCCUUCUGCAUGGUGGGGGGUGGAAAGUUUCGGCGGUUGGGGAUGGACUCGCGGCUUAUCAGCUUGUUGGUGGGGUAGUGGCUUACCAAGGCUUUGACGGGUAGCCGGCCUGAGAGGGUGACCGGCCACAUUGGGACUGAGAUACGGCCCAGACUCCUACGGGAGGCAGCAGUGGGGAAUAUUGCACAAUGGGCGGAAGCCUGAUGCAGCAACGCCGCGUGCGGGAUGACGGCCUUCGGGUUGUAAACCGCUUUCGCCUGUGACGAAGCGUGAGUGACGGUAAUGGGUAAAGAAGCACCGGCUAACUACGUG
rnacentral:rRNA from 1 species